UGAGACAGAAUGGCAGAGUGGCUGGGAUGGAGCUGGAUGGGAAGAGGGACCCUAUAAUGGCACCGGACACGCGGGAAAGGUCUGGGGGUGCAUUAGGCACCAUGUGAGUGUGCAGGGCGGGGGUAUGAGUGGAUGUGUGGCUGGUGUGUAUGAGUAUGCAUGUAAGUGUGUGUGUGUGUGUGUGUGUGUGUGUGUGUGUGUGUGUGUGUGUUUGUCUUCACAGUGUCAGGAUCAGGGUCAGACCUUGCCUGGUUUUCUGUAACAUCCAGAUGACGUGGGAGAGAUCAAUUUGGGAAGACUUUGGGGGCUCUUUCCUUGGAGGCUGAAGGUGGGGCUCUGUGUGUGUCACAAAAUGUCCCCAGCCAAGGAGUGGUGGCAUCUGUGGGGUUUCACGUUCCCCAGGGACAUGCAGUAGGUUCCUCUUCUGGAUCUGACCUCUGGAGGGCAGGAUGGGGGCCUUGGUGGCACUUUCUCAUCCUUUCCCUGUGCAGCACCUUGCUGGUAUCUUAGUCUCAGCUUUGGGCUUAUCCUGGAAGGGGGAGUGUGAAGUUCCUUUGGCACACAGGGCCCGUUCCCACCUUCCUGGAAAGGAAUUGGAUGAAUCUCGGUCCCCACAAGAGUCAUACAUGUUAUCUUGGCCCUGCCCAUCCGUUUGGGCAUGGGCCACUUCCUUGUUGAUUCCCUCCAGCAGGUCAGCCCUUGAGGACAGGGGAAUCCGUGUGCCCAACACCCAGGCCACCUCUGGCCCAUGGCGGGUGCUCACCCAUGGUGAGUGAAAGCAAAAAUAGGCUCUGCCUUGAGACAGGACCCUGUGAUUCAGAGGGCUCUUGUGUGAACAACCGACUCACAAAAUGUCCCCAAGGUCACUGCCACACGUCAGCCAGGAGACUCCAAUGUCCUUUGAAAAAUGCCAGACUCAAAUCUGAACACACGUGGCCAAGCCAGGGGGUUUGUGCAAUGCCGGAUGAUAUAAUCUGUGGGGUCCUUUGGGAAACCGGGGUGGGGAGGCCAGGCUGGCUCCCUCCAAGCUUGCUCUCAGUAUGUAGUCAGUUGGGCAAGUCUGAACAGGUGGGGGUCGUGGCCAUGCCCUGGAACCCAUUCCUCCUGAAGGAGACCCCGCAUCCAGGGGCUUGGCAUACCCGGGAGCUACCGGCCAGAGGGGUUCCUUGGGCUCAAAGUGAUGGCAGGAGGGUUCCUCUAAUAGGCCUGCCCACCCCCCUCCCCGUGGCAGGCUGCUCACGCUCCCUCCUUCAAUCCAGAACUGUGGGAGCCUGCUUCGUGUACGUUGGACACCCACCGGAGCGGUCGGGGCCCGGGUCCCCACUGCAGCUGUGCCUGGCCCCGGCAUCCAGCACCCCACCACAGGCCUGCCGGCUCCAGGGUCCCCACGCUGGCCGGGUUGGUCCAGAAGGCCCUGCUGUGACCCCUGAAGGAAUGACCGAGUGAAGCGGUGGGAGAGUCCACACAGCACAGAGGCCCAGAUGCUCCAGGACGGAGUGGCGUCCACGCAAGUGACCCAGCCCUCCCGCAGUCAGGUACAUUUAGUUUUCCAGCCUUGGUUCCCGAAGUCCCUGGCUGAGCCCAGAGAGAAGGAAGGCCGGCACUGGUGAGUCCUUUGGAGGCCUCUGGUCACCGCUGCUGAUGGAAACUUGGUCGGUGCCCUGGGAAGGUGGCAUCCCCCAGCUGGGUAGGGGAGUAGGAAGGCCAGCAGGCAGGAGCAGCGGGUGUUGUGCCUCUCCCAGGGUGUCCGUGAACCUUUCCUACGUGCUCUUGGGGGAGUUUUCUCCUGGCCGGGACUGCUGAGGCUUGGGUUAUGGGUUAUGGGCCCUUUGAGUUUGGGGCGGGGGGGGGGGCGCACAUUUGCUGCUGGAUGUCUCCCGUCCUGUCCAGGGUCUGGACCCAAGUGUGAGCGUGGUUAGGCAGGUCCCGGUUGGGUCCCUGGCCCAGGAAGGCGGCGUCCUGAACUGGGAAAGAAUGGUGCCCGCUGCCCUCACCAGUGCAGAAGAGGUAUCCAUAGGGCCACUCUCGGGACCUGAGCUAACAGGAACCUGGCUUGGGGUGCUGAGUCUGCAGAGGUGGCUGUGGGGUGCAGAGAGCGCGUAAGAGGUGCCAUUUUCCGGCAUUCUGCCAUCUCAUUGGAAGAGGGAAGCACCCAUCCCCCGCCCCCGGCUGUGUCGGGCGGCCACGGCUGUCUGUCUGCGGGUGCUGUUCCGAGGCUGCUGGCAGGUGCUGUUGGCCUCCUUGGGCCCCAGCAUCAGCCUCUCAGUGGCCCCGUGCUCCCACCUGGAGCUGCCCACCCUGCCCCGGGGCCUGGGGACUCCUACUGCUCAGGUCCCUGCUUAGGGGUCCCGUGGGAAAGUGUGCAGGCCCUGCACCCCCCUCCUGCCACCUUGUCUCAUGUAGGGGCAAAACCCGGGCCGGGAGCCAGCCACAGAGUCUUGGGCUGGGCCCUGCAGGCCUCUACCACUCUGGGGUUCUAGCUGGGUCGGAGGCAAGGCCACGUGUGGCAGUGGGGCCUCAGCGCGUGAGGAGAGCAGCCCAAGGGACCGGCAACUGCUGUGUGGCUCUGUACCCCUGCCUUAUCUCUGGGGGCCCAGCUCCGCAUCUCCCAGUGGAGCCUCACACACCCCUCUCAGGCUGGCUCCCACUCGUCUCGGAGUCCAAAGCGCUACUGUGAUUUCAGAGCAUCUGCUCCAACCACAGGCUCCCACCUCAGUGCCUUUGCACAUCUGUUCCCAGUCCCAGAACAGGAAGUCUGCUCCAGGCCUCCUUGGCCUGCACGCUUGCUUCUCUGCUCAAGUGCCCAUAUCGGGGCGCUCUCUCCCCUCCUGCCGGGGUGGUCCCUGCCUCUCCCCCCUGACAUCCAGUACUGCCUGGGAAGUACUAGGUGCUCGGUGAAUACCCAGAUGAGUACAUUUGAAUGGAAACACAGCUUGAAAGCUGGUGCUGUGGUAGAAAGUCACACCUAGAAUUUAGAAGUGUGAUGUUUGCAAGAAUAGCACUGCGGGGGUGGGGGGGGUUGGCAGGAGGGAGCGCUGCAGGAAGGGGUGUUGGGGCCACAGUCCGCGGCUGCUUCACACACAAGACUGCAGGCUUCCUGGAGGCACAAGCCAAGACCCUCCUCAAAUGGCCUUGUGGCCAGCUGGGUGGAGCCUCCGUGACUGUGCCUGCCGAAGGCUGCACGGCAGCAGACUCAGAAGAGAUGGUGCGUGGGAAUCAGUCGCAGGAUUUGUCACAGAGCACCGAGAAGACCCCUUACCUAGAUGAUGGCUGUCCCAGGACAAGUUAAGGAUCUUCAGAGUGAAAACUUUCUUUUGUCUUUUAAUUUCUCCAAGUUAAGGACAUAGGGCAGUGGCCGAUGGAGAAGCUGGGAUCCGAGAGGCCCACGGGGGCUGGGGACCUGGAGGCUGAUAUUUGUUGACCGUUGAUGGAGACACAGAGGGCAGGGGCCUCCCUUACAGCAAUGCCUGGGGAGCUCCCCACCCGAGCGUACCUGGAAAGACACUACUGCCUAUUUGGCUUUAAAAGCCCAGCGACAAGUCCUUGAAACAGGCAGAGUGGCAUUCCUAUAGGAGCUGGCUGCCUCCAUGAUGACACUUUGCUCAGGGCAAAAGACAAUCUUAUCCCGACCCCCCAGGGUCCUGUAAGUCUACUUUAACAUAUAAAAACUCCUUUGGAAACUUCCUCUAUCUCUACCCCCCAAGAUAUAUGCUGGCGAUCAUCCUCCCCGCUUAUGGCCCCUCAUAUACAUCUGAAGGACACUUACUCUGUCCCUAACCCCGGCCCUACCUGAGGGUAUAUAAUCAGUCACCUGUCACAACCCCAGUGCAGCUCUUCCUGCCUACGGGUCCCGUCCCCGUGCUUUAUUUAUUUUUUUUUAAUUUUUUUAAAGUUUUUAUUUAUUUU